AUGUUCUCUACAUCUCUACUGCUCUUGCUGGCAGCUGCUUCCUAUGUCCAUGGUUAUGAACUGACUCAGCCUGAUGCCAUGACAGUCCAGCCAGGCCAGAGUCUCUCCAUCCCCUGUAAGGUUUCAUAUUCAGUUACAAGCUAUACUACAGCUUGGAUCCGACAACCUGCAGGAAAAGCUCUGGAGUGGAUUGGAUAUAUCACUAGUGGUGGGAGUACAGCUUACAGUGAAAAACUGAAAAACAAGUUCAGCAUCUCCAGAGACACUUCUACUAACACAAUAAAAAUUCAAGGACAGAAUCUGCAAACUGAAGACACAGCUGUGUAUUACUGCACUGAUUACGGAGAUUUGGCAAUGCCCACGUACAUGCCUCACGUACCCCGCCCAACACAGUCUCAUCUCAGAAAGAAUUUCUGA